rnacentral:lncRNA from 1 species
ACCAAAACCAUGGGCUUGGUGGUGAACUUGACAUUGUUUCCGAGCUCAGCAUGGUGCUACCUAAAGUUGUCAAGAUGGGGAUCCAUCUCUUCAAGGUUGUGGUUAAGGUUGACCUCCCUCUUGGAGGCACUCUCUAAUCAGUAAGGUAAGGAGUGGCCAAACGUUAAUCCCUUCCAAGUUGGUGAGCUUGAGGAUCGAUGCCUCCUC